UGAGCCGCAGCUGGUCCUCAACACCCCCUUACCCACAGACCUGGUUAUGCUGCACCACAGCACAUGGAAUAGGAUCAUGUGCAUUUUGAGCAGCCAUGCAGGAGGGGAUAUUUGUACUAACCCGAAAGCCAAAUUGGAUCAGUUAAUUCUUCAUGUUGCAUUGUUAAAAACUAAUCCGACAGUAUAUUGUUGUCAAAGAGGACAUGUGCUUUUUUUCAGUUUUCCAUUUCCUCUAUUGUGCUUUAUAGAUUUUUUUGAGAACGUCAAAGAUCUCCAUAAUUAGGAAACCCAAAAUCCGCAGUUAGGGGAACUCCUCUCCUCUGCAGAAAAAACUCUGACCCUGAAGCCUCUGAAACACCUCCUCAGCAGUCUGGACAUUAUUUUUGCGUUGCUCCACAGCAACCAGGGACCAUUCAAAAAGGCACAAGGACAAGGUACUCAACACUUCAUUGCUUUCAAAGUGACCCUGAGGCAAUGCUAUUGGAGGCCAAUGGACUGAUGGGCAGUGGACAUAGUUUUGUUACCAAGUUGUCAAAAAUAAGCUCCUUUAGCCAGAGUGCAGGCAGAUGUCUUGUUGCCAGGUGAAGCCAAGGACCUCAUCAUCCUUCUCCUGUCAAAGAAGAAUGCGAAGCGCCUGGGCACAGGGGUUGGUGCCACUCGUGGUUUUCCUAAUUGAACCUUCCACUCUGCCAGACUCUGCCAUCAAUAACAUCUACCCCGCCGCUCCCUCCGUUCCCCUCACCCAGUCAUCUGACCUCUUAGCGAUAAGAGCCGCCUCUCAUCCCCCCCCCCACCUCUCCUCAAGAUUGACAAGCUGACACACCAUCUCUGAGGUCGGCCGGGCUAAUUGGUUUGCGCACAUCUUAGAUGGACCAUUAGGCCUCACAACUACUAAACUAAAAACAUCUCUCUCCCCUCUCUCUCUCUCUCUCUCUCUCUGUCGCUCUCUUUCUCUUUUUGAGGGUGGCUGAUGGAGGCGGCGAUAAUGGUCCAGCGAGGAGUAAUAACGUUCCAGUGCAAUCUGCGGCUCACAUAUGUUGUAAGCUGAAAUGAUUGGCUGUUUAAUCUUUUUGGGUCUUUCUCUCUUUUAUCUCCUGCACGGCUCACAGGGAGUGUAGCGUGGUGGAUUGGGGGAGUUGGCCGUGAGUGGCUGUGAAUGGAAGCAAAGCCGGCUUUUAUUCACUGUAAGUUUGGAUUCGUGGUAAAAUAUAGGAAUUCAAAUGUUGAUAUUGCCUUCACAACAGGGACGUGUGUGUAUCCUGCUGUAAUCAUCCUGCCCACGGUAACUGUUACUUUACUGCAGCUAACAGAGGAAAGAAAGAAAUACUUACAAACUACUCCCACUAACUACAACCUCAAUCAGCAUCGGAGGUUUUCCCAAAGCCAUCUUUACCGUGCAUCAAUAUUUUUUUAAAUUACAGUAAUUUGUUGAGGUGCACUUCAGCUACAGUGCAGCUACAGCAGGUACAUGCACCAGCUCGGCCCUGUCCUCUUAUGCAUGAAGCCUAUCUUGCUCAAGUUAAGGGAAAUUCUGGUUUCAUUCAAUCUUGGUCUAAUUUUUUUUGUAGUUUCAUACAUACUUACCCCUCAGUAAUAAUAAAAAAAUAACAUUAAACUUAAUUGCUGAGAUCUGUGAGCAAAACGACACACAGUCACAAGCAACUCUACCACAUUUUCCUAAAUGUCUGUUGGAAACAUCUCAGUUUAAAGACGAACACAGUUAAAUUGCCAAGAUUUUGUUUUAUGUUAAAGAUAUAAUAUAACAACUCUUCAUUAAAAUGCCUAAAAAUUACUGGACUUAGGUUAAAUAUCUUGUUGACUUGUGUGCUCAUAUUAUCCAGAAUGUCAAACCCAGACUUUAUUCAAGGUAACUGCUUGUUUCCUUUUUGUUGCUUUUUAUUUGUGUCAUAUCCACUUAUACAUUACCUCAUCCACGAUGAUCAUUUGCAUCUGCAGUGCAUAGGUGAAGACAACAACUCCCAUGACCCCUCGCUGCUUCACAUUGUCAUCAAACUAGGUCUGUAGUUAUAAUUUUUGAUUGCGAGAUUGUCAGAUAAUUUGACUCAUCUUUUUUUUUUAUCAUCUUUACAUCUUUACUAAUACCCUGCUUGUUCCUUGCUGUGUUGGACAUUGUUGUAAUGAACAUGUUCAUAGAGUAGCCGGCAAUGACUUUGACAGAAAAAGUGGCAAAAAGUGCAAAAAUGAAGACACAAAUUGUGGUAAACCCAGAAUUUCACACUAAGUGGGGUUUCAGCUGGCGAAAGAUUCAAUCGACUCUAUUGGAGGCAGGCGAGUGAGACACAUGCAUACAAAGCACAAAAGACUACUACUCAGGCAUUCCCUCUGGCAAACACAGCCAUAACAGUGAGGGUUAUUAUCUGUGACAGGCUGCCACUGACCAAUGGUGCCCUGUCACCGGCUGUCUGACUUGUACCUGGUGGCACAAAAAGAAACACCUCUCUCCUCGGCCCAAUCUGUUGCCUCACACAGCAGGCAAAUGGAGCAGGACAUCUACUGUUGCUGCCUCCACGCUUAAUGUGUACAAGAGUGACUCGGCUAACUGAUUAAACUAAUAAGUCGACACUGUUUCCUGGUUAUAGCGGUUAGACGCGUCAAAAUCCUGACGCCGGAGCUGUGGCAACCUGUGCCAACUUUAUAGUGGUUUUACAAGGGUACGCCGCUGGUACGUACAGGUGAGCCUGUGUAUAUUCAACUCACCCUCAGUUCCACAUCAAAGACGAAUAAUGCUGCACUCCAUCACCCCCACCCUGCCUCUCUCUCUCUAUCUCUCUCUCCCCCCUGGUCAUCCACCUCGGCCCGUCAGGCAGCUGUAGCCUGUAAUUGGGAGUGGAGCCUUACAGGCCGUGUAGUGGACGGCUCAGCGGAGACUGCAAGAGUCAAUUACCAGAGCUGACAGUGCCGCGGAGAGAAAGGUACACCAGACACACUGUAGCAAUCUGUCUGAGCAGGAUGAGGGAGACAGAGGGUGUGUGCUAAUGUGACGCCAACACGCUACACGUCUCACCUCGUGGUAACACUGACAGCUGUGGCAUAUUACUUACGUGCAGUGUUUUGGACACAUGGCCCAGAAAGGCUGAAGCUGCUAACAUAUGGCCGUUCCUGUCAGAAAAUCCAAUUAGCUCCAACGCUGUUGACUAACACAUUGAUAUAACAUGACUCAUCAUUGCAUAUGUGUGUUUUUUUUUUCUCUUAUCACAUGACGUGUUUUUCAGUGUUCGACAGGAGACAACAGGUAUUUGAUAGAAUUAAAAAAAACGUAUCUCAGUGCCGCUGCUCCCUCGUCUUCAGAAUGAAUUAAAUGUGUCAAUGAUUGAAACAGCGGCAUCAUUUUAAUCAAAGACGAUCCCAGGAACCCCUGCUUCAUUUUGCUCCCAUCACAGCUGACAGAAUUUGAUUCAUGAGGUCUUCAUUCUCCACGCUCGCAGACAGGAAUGUGAAUGUGAAGCUCGGCUCUCGCCGGUCGCUCUGACGUCUUCUUCUCCGUCUAGAUUCUGCUUCCUUUCUGAUGCUGUGUCUCAGUAUCUUUAUUUAAUUUUCCCUUACCUUGUUUUCUGCUAGACUACACAUUUAUUGUGAAGACAAUACAAAAAAAACUGUUUAUUUAGACUUUCAGAUGGUGCAGAGCUUUCAGUUCCUUCAAAUCCUCAGUGAACAUCCAACCGUUUAUCUGGAUCAAAGAUAUGAAAAUGGUCCACUGGACCAAAGCGCUGUUAUUUCAUCACUGACAACAAAAGCUUCAUGUUGCACUGUAAUUGUGCAUUUAUUCUGUGUGGGUUUUGGAUUUGUGCAAGCAGGCCCUUGGGUCUAUUGGUUUCUAUUUGUUUUAUAUUCUCUUUUAAAUGUUACCAUGUACUGACAGACUAAACACACGUUGUCAUCAUUCUUACAUUGUGCCAAUAAUACAUCACCUAUUAACUUUAAUGAAACUUUAAUGAUGUGCUAGAGCAGUGGCUUGCAUGCAACACUACAAAUGCAUGAAGCAGAAAUUUAAAAUCAGACGGCGUAAUUAAACAGAGUGAUUCAAGAACACAAGGGAGCACAUAGGUAAUGUCGAUUAGCAACCGAUCUCCUUCCCCAGACCUUACAUCUGAUUUCUGAAGACAGCUAUCGGUGAAAGGAGCAAGCGUCUGUUUUUUAUGGGUCGCUGACUCGAUUGUUACCGGCUGAUCUGCUGUAAAACCUAUUCAGCCUUCACCAAUUUAAAACAAAUGUUUAAAUGUUGCCUUUAGAACUAUGGUUGAAGCAAAAAAACACUUUUACAUUAACUUUUUUGAAAUAUCACAUUAGAUCAAAGGUGGAAAAAUGUCCUAGUGGUUAGCGCCGUCUCCUCGCAGCCAGAAGGUUUCAGCUGAAAACCUCCGGGGCGGCCAGGGCCUUUCUGUGUAAACAUGUUAUCUCCGUGUCUGCGUGGGUUUUCUCCGGCUUCCAUUUACAACCCAGAGACAUUCAGCUUAAGUUAAGUGAGAACUCUCAAUUGUCCUCGGGUGAGAAUUUGAGCCUGAGUGAUUGUCUCUGUAUUUGCUGGCGAGCCAUGGGGCAGCCUGUCUAAACACCCAAUGUUAGCUGGGACUGAAGAUCGAUUGAAGAAACCUGCAAAGUAUUGGCUGUAUUGAUAAUAGAUGGUAAUACAUUUGAGAUUAAGAUGUGUGGUACAAGUUAUCUAAUAUCACAAAGCAGUUAAUCUCUAUGAACAGAUUGUGCAUGUGAAUAUGCAAAAUAUGUGCGUAGGUGAGAGAAAAUCUUUUGGGGUGGGAAGUCUUCUGGUUUGUUAUUAUCUGUUGGUCUGUUUCCCCCAUCCCUUUGUCUUUUGUUUGACUCUCUCUCUCUCUCUCUCUCUCUCUCUCUCUCUCUCUCUCUCUCUCUCUCUCUCUGUCUCCUGGAGAUAAACGUUUUGAUCCAGCGUUUUGUAAAUAAAAACACUCUUGUUUCACUUAGAAAACAAAUUUGUCUGUGUCCGCCUUUUGGAGCCGAUUUGUCUGAUGUAUCACAACAUGGUUCUGCUUUGGUUUAACCAAUCACGUUUGAGCAAGCUUUGGUUGCCUGCAGGUAAAAAGUCCACGUGAAGAGCAAAAGACAUUGAAAUGCAUUGGCUGUCAGCUUUUUAAUUUAUCUACAUUCAUAUGCAGAUAGCUGUUGAUUAGAGAUUAGUCAAACUGUUGUCUGGACCUAAAACAACUAUAAAAAGAGACAGUGUUUGGAGAAACAUGCGACCCGUACGAUGAAAGAAAGUAGUCAGACUGUUAAUGGUGAACAGAAGAGAGAGUCUUGGCCCUGAUUUCCACUGUCUACACCGGAAGUCCCCAAAUAUUGGUUGUUGCCCCCUGAGGCUAAUUUGUCAUCAGACAUUAGCCGAUUGGCUGCGAGAUUGCAAAGCACGUGACUUGACCCACAUAAAACUUAAAAAUAUGCUCCUGCUCACAACAACAGCACAUUUGGUGGCAUUUCUCUUGUAGAGUUAUUUUACUGUUUGAGUGGAUGAGAUGAAUUGUUCUGCCAUUACAACGAGGUCUGAUUAACUGAGAGUCGUAGCAUUAUGCAGUCAGUAACCAACGAGCUGAUAUGUUGGUUUUUAAUGACAAAUAUAUGCAUAGGGAUCCUUUGAUUUGCAUAUUGCAGCGAGCAAUCAGAGUCUGUGCAGGAACGUGAACUAAUUUAUUUUUCACAGUGAGAUGCUGCUGUCAGGACUGGGGAAGCUUUGCCUCAUGAAAUCUGAUAAACUACUGUUUUAAUAUGAUAAUGGAUCAAAGUAAAUGUGGGGCGACUGGAGUCCUGUGUGAGCACCGGUCUCUAGAAUACAGUGCUUGCUGGAAAUGUAUCUUUGCAUUCAUGAGUCUUGUGGGUUUUAAUUGUGUUAGAAGAGGUGUGUAGGGAGCUAUUAAACUCUGUGGUCUUCACACACAGUGACACAGUAAACACGAUCCAUAGUGGCAAUUUCAUGCCUAACUUGAAUUUCCCUAUAUUCAACAUUGAUACUGAACUUUUAAUGACUCUUAACCUCUCUAUUUUAAUUCUCUGCAUGAAAAAUAUCUCAGAUAGAUAAGUGGUGACACUGAUCAGAUUAGUUUUGCCGCAGCCCAGGAAUGAUCUCACCAGGAUUAAGACUAGUGGAAUGUGAUGAACAGAUUACCUGAACACCUGGAUUGCUCAAACCAUUAAUCAGAUUAUCCGUGUACGAAACCAUCAGUUCCCCGCUAAUGCGUCAGAAUCCAGCAGGCAGGUGCAGCAAGGCACAGGAAAGAUCCAACAAAACCCAAGCAUCAUAUACAGAGCUGAGAGUGUUGUUGAGAUGGUAAAAAGUGAAAGUGCAUAGACCCUAAGGGUUUCAGUGUGUAGGAUUUAGUGACAUCUAGUGGUGAAGUUGCAUGUUGCAGCUGAAUGCCCCAGUUGUCAUAAAAACUCAAAAGGUCUUUAGUUUGUCCAGUUUGGGCUACGGUAAAAAACAUGGCGUAGACAGGACCCGCUUCCGAUGUAGAUAUAAAGUGUUUAAAAAUAAAGGGCUCAUUCUAGGGUAACGAAAACAUCACUUGGACUAUUUUAUAUUGAAUUUCUGCCAAUAGAUCCCUGUCACCUAAAUCUUACACACUGCACCUUUUAAUGUACUUUUGUAAAAGUGACAAUGGGAUGAUGUAAUGAUAGUUGAAAGAAUUUAGUUUAAAGUUUUGUGUUUACUUAAAAAUCAGACGUUUAUUUCGAAAAUUCUGCUAAAGUGGCCACAGAUGUAGGUUGUGACACAGUUUGCACACACAUACCCAUUGUGGGUAUAGAGGGGGAGUCGAGUGAACGUGAGAAGGUUUCACUUGUCUUCACAGUUCACCUUCCAGAUGUGUAGCAGGGAAAUGGUGGUCCAGAGAUUGUAAACGCCCCCACAAAGUUUCCAACAAGCUUUCAGUGGUUAUUGAAUGCACGCUGGUGUGAAGUGUGAUUUCUCUAAACAAAGACAUGCAGAUAUGUCGUCAACUCUUUACCUCUGUUACUUUUCACACCUCUAGAGAAAUGUGGUGGGUGUGUGGUGGCAAGACAUCUGACACUUCGGGGGAGGCUGCCUCAUAUUUCAAAUGUGUAGGAAGUUUAGUGGUUUUUUUCUAAUAUUUAUUUAUUGACUUAUUAAGUGUGAGAGUCGCCUGAGCUGCCAGGGGAGCUUGUGGACGCCCGUGAUGUUUUUAAAUUGUGAAUUAUCACCUUAGAGAUUUUUCCAGAAUAUUGUGUGAUAUGCAAAGCUAUAACAUUUGAAAUCUGGUUUAAUUUAAAUUAGUCUACAGUUUUUUUUCAUGAAAUUUAACAUGAUUUUAGCUUCAUUACUUGUUUUGUUCACGUCCAUCACAUUUUACGCACAGUCAUUUCUAACUUUGCUAAGAGUCAAAACUAAAAUGUUGUGCAUGGUAAACACUAAGCGUGUUAACAUUGUUACUGUGAGCAUGUUAGCACACUGACAUUCGCAUUCAGCAUGAAAGGAGAUGAAACAAUCUUUUCUUAAAUGGUUUUGCUGUUUUUUUUUAUUUCAAAACUAAUUCCACACAUGUGCUACCGUACUAUUUCAUUCUAUGUUUCCUCAACAGUAGUGUGUCAUCCCGGUGGUGAUGUCCUCGUUCAAAGAGUUCACUGGUCUCAUUUAGGCCCACGACAAACCAGUGGAGCCCUCUGAGGUCGUUUUGCCACAUAUGAGCUGUGACCAAUCGGAUUCACCAUGCUCGUGUAAUGACAUCGCUCAUCCCGUGCCCUUGAGCUACUGCCGCUGACUUGUGCGUGCCAAAUGAGAUUUUUCUCCAACCUCUCGAAAUACAUUUUCCCUCCGCUGUGUCCCCGAUCUGAUAACAUUGUAGAGGAAAAUUUAUGUCAAGCCCUUGAUGGAGCUAAAUGUAAAUGUCUUUUUGAGGCAGUGUUGAAUUUUGGGUUUGUUUUUUUAUCUGUCUGAGGUGAAUUAAAGGUUUUUUUUGUUGUUUUUUUCCUGACCCCAAACCUUCAUCUACACAUUUACAAGCUGUAGUGGUUCAUUUGUCACAACCCUCUCCUCUCAUUGUGACAGGGAGUGCAGACGCAUAAAUAUGUCUUAAACUACUGGAUCCUAUUAGCGGAGUGCUGUGCUGCUGGAGUGCCAUUACAGCCGCUGCUCUUUGAGGUGGAAAGCAGUGAUCAACAGAAAUGAAAUGGCUGCACUGUCAACAGAGAGCUCAGAUGAAUCUGGGACAAAGUAAUGAACACUGCCAGAGCUGCGUGACA